rnacentral:ribozyme from 1 species
UAAUUUAGUUAUUAUUAUUGUUAUUAUUAUAAGAAAAAAAAAAAAAAGUUUUAUGGUUUCUUUGGUUGGGUCUUAUUGUG